rnacentral:rRNA from 1 species
CCUACGGGAGGCAGCAGUCGAGAAUCAUUCACAAUGGGGGAAACCCUGAUGGUGCGACGCCGCGUGGGGGAAUGAAGGUCUUCGGAUUGUAAACCCCUGUCAUGUGGGAGCAAAUUAAAAAGAUAGUACCACAAGAGGAAGCUACGGCUAACUCUGUGCCAGCAGCCGCGGUAAUACAGAGGUCUCAAGCGUUGUUCGGAAUCACUGGGCGUAAGGGGUGCGUAGGCUGUUUCGUAAGUCGUGUGUGAAAGGCGCGGGCUCAACCCGCGGACGGCACAUGAUACUGCGAGACUAGAGUAAUGGAGGGGGAACCGGAAUUCUCGGUGGAGCAGUGAAAUGCGUAGAUAUCGAGAGGAACACUCGGGGCGAAGGCGGGUUCCUGGACAUUAACUGACGCUGAGGCACGAAGGCCAGGGGAGCGAAAGGGAUUAGAUACCCGAGUAGUC